GAUGAACGCUAGCUACAGGCUUAACACAUGCAAGUCGAGGGGAAACGAUAGAGCAAGCUUACUUUUUCUAGGAAUCGACCGGCGACAGGGUGAGUAACGCGUAUCCACCCUGGCCAACACUUGGGGAUAACCGUGCGAAAGUAAGAAUAAUACCAAAUGACAUGUCUACAGGACAAAUGAAAGGGAUGAAAGAUUUAUCGGUGAUGGAUGGGGAUGCGUCUGAUUAGCGUGUUGGCGGGGGAGCGGCCAACCAGGGCGACGAUCAGUAGGGGUUGUGAGAGGAAGGUCCCCCACAUUGGAACUGAGACACGGCCCAAACGCCUACGGGAGGCAGCAGUGGUGAAUAUUAGUCAAUGGACGAGAGUCUGAACCAGCCAAGUAGCGUGCAGGAUGACGGCCCUAUGGGCUUUAAACUGCUUUUAUAAGGGAAUAAAGUGGGAGUCGUGACUCUUUUUGCAUGUACCUUAUGAAUAAGGACCGGCUAAUUCCGUGCCAGCCGCCGCAGUAA
rnacentral:rRNA from 1 species